AUUGAACGCUGGCGGCAUGCCUUACACAUGCAAGUCGAACGGUAACGGGCCUUCGGGUGCCGACGAGUGGCGAACGGGUGAGUAAUACAUCGGAACGUGCCCGAUCGUGGGGGAUAACGAGGCGAAAGCUUUGCUAAUACCGCAUACGAUCUACGGAUGAAAGCAGGGGACCGCAAGGCCUUGCGCGGACGGAGCGGCCGAUGGCAGAUUAGGUAGUUGGUGGGAUAAAAGCUUACCAAGCCGACGAUCUGUAGCUGGUCUGAGAGGAUGAUCAGCCACACUGGGAGUGAGACACGACCCACACUCCGCGGGGAGGCGGCGGGGGGGAUUUUGGGAGAAUGGGCGCAGCCUUACCCCAGCCAUGCCGGGUGAAGAAGAAAGGCCUUGGGUUUGAAAACUUUUUUUGUACGAAACAAAAACCUUUUUUUUAAUAAAGGGGGGCCAGGAGGGAACGGAAAAAAAAAGCCCCGGCUAACUACGUC
rnacentral:rRNA from 1 species